rnacentral:rRNA from 1 species
GAUUUAGAUUGUUUCUAGUGGCGGACGGGUGAGUAACGCGUGGGUAACCUGCCUUAUACAGGGGGAUAACAGUCAGAAAUGACUGCUAAUACCGCAUAAGCGCACAGGACCGCAUGGUCCGGUGUGAAAAACUCCGGUGGUAUAAGAUGGACCCGCGUUGGAUUAGCUAGUUGGUGAGGUAACGGCCCACCAAGGCAACGAUCCAUAGCCGGCCUGAGAGGGUGAACGGCCACAUUGGGACUGAGACACGGCCCAGACUCCUACGGGAGGCAGCAGUGGGGAAUAUUGCACAAUGGGGGAAACCCUGAUGCAGCGACGCCGCGUGAAGGAAGAAGUAUCUCGGUAUGUAAACUUCUAUCAGCAGGGAAGAAAAUGACGGUACCUGACUAAGAAGCCCCGGCUAACUACGUGCCAGCAGCCGCGGUAAUACGUAGGGGGCAAGCGUUAUCCGGAUUUACUGGGUGUAAAGGGAGCGUAGACGGAUGGACAAGUCUGAUGUGAAAGGCUGGGGCUCAACCCCGGGACUGCAUUGGAAACUGCCCGUCUUGAGUGCCGGAGAGGUAAGCGGAAUUCCUAGUGUAGCGGUGAAAUGCGUAGAUAUUAGGAGGAACACCAGUG